GUACUCGAGUGGCGAACGGGUGAGUAACACGUGGGUGAUCUGCCCUGCACUUCGGGAUAAGCCUGGGAAACUGGGUCUAAUACCGGAUAGGAGCCAUUUUUAGUGUGAUGGUUGGAAAGUUUUUUCGGUGUAGGAUGAGCUCGCGGCCUAUCAGCUUGUUGGUGGGGUAAUGGCCUACCAAGGCGGCGACGGGUAGCCGGCCUGAGAGGGUGGACGGCCACAUUGGGACUGAGAUACGGCCCAGACUCCUACGGGAGGCAGCAGUGGGGAAUAUUGCACAAUGGGCGCAAGCCUGAUGCAGCGACGCCGCGUGGGGGAUGACGGCCUUCGGGUUGUAAACUCCUUUCGCUAGGGACGAAGCUUUUUGUGACGGUACCUAGAUAAGAAGCACCGGCUAACUACGUGCCAGCAGCCGCGGUAAUACGUAGGGUGCGAGCGUUGUCCGGAAUUACUGGGCGUAAAGGGCUCGUAGGUGGUUUGUCGCGUCGUCUGUGAAAUUCCGGGGCUUAACUCCGGGCGUGCAGGCGAUACGGGCAUAACUUGAGUACUGUAGGGGUAACUGGAAUUCCUGGUGUAGCGGUGAAAUGCGCAGAUAUCAGGAGGAACACCGAUGGCGAAGGCAGGUUACUGGGCAGUUACUGACGCUGAGGAGCGAAAGCAUGGGUAGCGAACAGGAUUAGAUACCCUGGUAGUCCAUGCCGUAAACGGUGGGCGCUAGGUGUGAGGGUCUUUUCACGACUUUCGUGCCGUAGCUAACGCAUUAAGCGCCCCGCCUGGG
rnacentral:rRNA from 2 species